GCCCCUAUGGCGGAAUUGGUAGACGCGACGGAUUCAAAAUCCGUUGAAUUUCGAUUCAUCUCAGUUCGAGUCUGAGUAGGGGCACCA
rnacentral:tRNA from 2 species